UUUCAAGCACUGGAACAGGCUGCCCAGGGAAGGGGUUGAGUCACCAUCCCUGGAGGGAUUUAAAAGAUGUGUAGACAUGGCGUUUAGCAAUAUGAUUUAGUGGUGGCAGUGUUAGGUUUAUGGUUGGACUCAGUGAUCUUGAGGGUCUUUGCCAACUUCGAUGAUUCUGUGAUUCUAAAAGAAGGUGGGCAAUCGGUGAGGGACAGCAAAUUCUGCAGGCAGAGCCCGUUGCUGGAGGAGCUGUGCUCUGGCAAAGACAUGGUCUCUGGCAGGGAGCAAGUGGGUUGUGCAGCACAGAGAUAACGCGGGGAAUGGGAGAAGCUGCAGGCUAAAACUGACAGAGCUGCUGUGAUCCUUUGGGGGACACUGAUUCCCCAGAUGCAUUUAAACCUACCUGCAGGCUUCAUGAAGAAGGAAAGUUUGAAAGACAGAUGGAAAAAAUAGUGUGGAGUAGUUUUUGUCUCCAACUUGGUUUUGAUAUUCAAAGAUGUUUUAGAUAUCCUAAAAUCUCUCCUGGCUGAUUACUAUUUGGUAUUAAGCCUUCAUGCUGGAAAAUCAACUUUUCUGUGUUCCUGAAAAGCAUUCAGAUAAUUUUUAAGUGAAAAGGCUGCCCUCCAGAUGAGACGGCGUGGGGGCGACUCGUGGAAAGAAAAACCCUACAACACCCAUAAAGGAACAAAGCUGUCUUGCAGAACUUGAGAGCAGAACUCGUCCUGCGAUCACAGGGAGCUAAGUCUUUAAUGACCUGCAAAUAGCACCGAGAGCUGAAAAGUGGGACUGCCAAAGCCGAAUCUCUACACAGCAGAAUUUAAAAAUAGGCUGCUGCUGGCGUUCUCGCUUACCCGUCGCUCCUGGAAGCCCACGGGGAGAGCGGCUCUCCAGCAGAGGAGAGACGCAGUCCCCUGACGUAACUUGCCUCGGCAUCUACACCGCAGAGCAGGAAGUUGCAGAUUCAGUCAUUUUACACCAGAGCAGCCCUGAUUGUUGUCUGCUUCUUUUCCAGCGCCAGGUCUUUGCCAGGUGCUGACUCCUCUCUCCUCUCCCCGGAGCAAUGAGGCAGUGGGGGCACCAGGCAGACCCCCCCUCGCCCGUGGUGCUGCCAUCCCGGCGGGGCCGAGGAGUCCCUUUAGCUCAGCAUCGUCAGCGCCUCCAGCGAAGCUCAGCACGUGUGGGAGUAGAGACACGGGAGAGAUGAACGCCUCUGCGGACGAAAAUGCUCUUCAGAAGCUCCCACCAACAGCGAGAGGUGUCAGCCCCAGUCAAAGACGGGGAGACGUGUUGUGGGGAAAGCAGUUGGGGCAGAAAAAAUGCUCGAGGGUGGGAGCAUGGGGAGUUGGGGGUGCUGAGCUGCGUCUCUAGGCGAGGAUGAGCUCUGCAUUUACAAAGGGCUGCAGAGAGCCAGGCCGUGAGACACCCCGUCCCCGUCACGAGCGAGGGGUCUGUGACAAGACCCCAAGGAGCCCCCCCUGCACACCGCAGCCCCCCUGGGGACCCGCAGCAGGAGGGUCCCCAGCGCCGCGUGCUGAGGGGCUGGAGGAGAUGGGCAGCCACGGGCCGAGCAGGGGGGUCCCGGCGGCAGAGGUGGGCAGCACCCAUGGGUGCAGAGGCUGCAGGGGAGCAGGUGGUGCUGCUCGACCUGCCUGGGGCACUCGGGCUGACGGGACCCCCUGCCCCGAGGUGCCGCGGGGGUGGCGGGGCACUGCUCUCCCCCCCAGCACUGAGCCACCAGCGUGGUGCGGGGGGCAGAGGCGAGAGGAGCUGCCCCUUCCCUUGGUCACUAAGGCUGAGGCCAAAAAUGCCGGGCAAACCCCCGGUCUGCCCCUGGGGGGUGUCCCAUGGGGAAACAAGGGGUGAGGCUGGGGCCGGGUGGCUGCAGAGGGCUGGCACACGGCGCCUGGAAGAGUCCCGGGGACCUGGAAGGUGGGAAGAAAUCAGUCGAGCUCGAUGCACCCGUCGGGGACUGCAAAAGGGAGGAUUUUAGUAGCGGUGAUUUGGCUGAAGGCAGGAGUAGAGGAUGCAGCUUUGGGGACCUACUGGAGGAAAGGCAGAGCAAGUCGCCAAGACUGGAGAAGAGGCUCCUGCAAAAAUGGAAGAGAAGCUCCCGAGCAUGUAAGAGUGCUGGAUGCAAGGAUGCAAAAGAGGCAGCAGAUUUGAAAAAUACGUAUACUGUGUAGGAAGCAGAAACAGAGAUUUAUAACUUCCAGGAUGUAGAAAAUAAGCCAUGUCUGAACAAAAUCAUUUGAGUGGUUAUGACUGUUCAAAUUUAAUGCAUUUUAUCCAGUGGUUAAUCACCCUCGCUGAUAAAAUUUUGUGUCUAA